rnacentral:rRNA from 1 species
CCCUUAGAUGUUCUGGGCCGCACGCGUGCUACACUGAGUGGAUCAGCGGGUCAGGUUGCGCGAAAGCGUUUCCUAAUCUUUAAAUCCGCUCGUGAUGGGGAUUGACGGUUGCAAUUUUCUGUCAUGAACGAGGAAUACCUUGUAAGCGCGGGUCAUCAUCCCGCGCUGAAUACGUCCCUGCCCUUUGUACACACCGCCCGUCGCUCCUACCGAUUGAGUGGUCCGGUGAGGCUUUGGGAUCUGAGCGGAAAGAGCGUUUCGCUGUUUCUGCUCGGAAAACUCAGUCGAACCUUAUCAUUUAGAGGAAGGAGAAGUCCUAACA